rnacentral:rRNA from 1 species
UUGAAAGGGAAACGAUUGAAGUCAGUCGUACCAGCGGAAAUCAACCUUUCGAGUGGGGGUUUUGGAGUUUUUUGAAGAGUGUCAAAACCUUUGAGAUUUCAAAAUAUUCGCUCUUUUGGUGUACUUUCUCGUGGGUAGGUUAACAUCGAUUUUGAUCAUCAUAAAAAGAUUGGAGGAAUGUAGCUUCGAUCUUGUAUUGAAGUGUUAUAGCCUUUGGUAAAUGUGAUGAUUAGGAUCGAGGAUUGCAACGAAUACCCUUUUGGGCUAUCCGCCUGAUCUCUGAUACGUGGCCUUGGUAUCGAAAGCGUGCUUAUGGUAUUGAGGUAUUACGGUCAAAAGGUUAGAACGGAUUACAUUCGUUAAGGAUGUUGACGUA